rnacentral:rRNA from 1 species
GAGCGGAGAUUUGAAAAGCUUGCUUUUCAAAUCUUAGCGGCGGACGGGUGAGUAACACGUGGGCAACCUGCCCUUGAGACGGGGAUAACUCCGGGAAACCGGAGCUAAUACCGGAUAACACAUAUCUUCGCAUGAGGAUAUGUUAGAAGGUGGCUUUUAGCUACCACUCAAGGAUGGGCCCGCGGCGCAUUAGCUAGUUGGUGAGGUAACGGCUCACCAAGGCGACGAUGCGUAGCCGACCUGAGAGGGUGAUCGGCCACACUGGGACUGAGACACGGCCCAGACUCCUACGGGAGGCAGCAGUAGGGAAUCUUCCGCAAUGGACGAAAGUCUGACGGAGCAACGCCGCGUGAGUGAUGAAGGUUUUCGGAUCGUAAAGCUCUGUUGUUAGGGAAGAACAAGUACCUGUUGAAUAAGCAGGUACCUUGACGGUACCUAACCAGAAAGCCACGGCUAACUACGUGCCAGCAGCCGCGGUAAUACGUAGGUGGCAAGCGUUGUCCGGAAUUAUUGGGCGUAAAGCGCGCGCAGGCGGUUCCUUAAGUCUGAUGUGAAAGCCCACGGCUCAACCGUGGAGGGUCAUUGGAAACUGGGGAACUUGAGUGCAGAAAAGGAGAGCAGAAUUCCA